UGGUCCUACGGGGCGCAGCAGUGAGGAAUAUUGGUCAAUGGGCGGGAGCCUGAACCAGCCAAGUCGCGUGAGGGAUGACGGCCCUAUGGGUUGUAAACCUCUUUUGCCGGGGAGAAAAGUGCCGCACGUGUGCGGUUUGGAGAGUACCCGGAGAAAAAGCAUCGGCGAACUCCGUGCAAGCAGCCGCGGUAAUACGGAGGAUGAGAGCGUUAUCCGGAUUUAUUGGGUUUAAAGGGUGCGUAGGCGGACGCUUAAGUCAGCG
rnacentral:rRNA from 1 species